rnacentral:rRNA from 1 species
AAAAUCUCCUUUACUUUUUGUACUGGAGAUUUUGUUACUUUGAGUAAAUUAGAGUGUUCAAAGCAAACAGUUAAAGCAUUUUACUGCGUUUGAAUACUACAGCAUGGAAUAACAAAAUUGAACAAGUCAAAACUCUGUUCCUUUUUCUUAUUUUGGCUUAGUUACGAUUAAUAGGAGUAGCUUGGGGGCAUUUGUAUUCAGAUGUCAGAGGUGAAAUUCUUAGAUUUUCUGGAGACAAACAACUGCGAAAGCAUUUGCCUAAAAUACUUCCAUUAAUCAAGAACGAAAGUUAAGGGAGUGAAGACGAUCAGAUAC